GUCUGCGCAUGCCCUGGCGUUCGGCGCAGGGGCUCUCAACCGCUCUGGGUUCACAGCUGGACGUCGGAAGUGCUAGUUUGGAGUACGCCCUUUGAGAGUAGGCGUGGGAAGUUACUGUGUGCUGAGCUUUCUAAAGGAAGGCGUCCGUUGGCCUUUGUACCCGUCUUGAGUGAGGCGACGAGUGUUUUCUAGUACUGGGGUCGGCCCCGCAGCCCUCUCAGGUGUGGGUGGCAGGAAGAGUGCCGGGUCCCGCGUGGUGCAAAAGGUGGGUUCAGGUUUGCAGCCACACAGCGCUACUCAGGACUUUUUAGUCUUGUUUAUUUUCUCCGUGCCUGUUCCCGCCCCCCGCAGCUCCACCUCUGGGAGAGGGGCGGGUUCAGCUCCAGGAGGCGGGGACUUCCCGGCUUGGCGUGGCUGAGGUGUCCCGUGGACCCCAGUCUCGGCGCAGUGACCCACUUAUGGGACUUGGCCUUUCUUUGCUGUUUGUUUAAGGCAGGGUUUCUCAGCCUGGGCACUACUGAGGUUUUGGGCCGGCUAAUUCUGUCUGGGUUGGGGAAGGUGCUGUCCCGUGAUUCGUAGGUUGUGUAGCUGCAUCCACCGCCCUACCCAGUGGAUGCAAGUAGCAGCCCCAGUGAACCAAAAAUGCCCCCAGACUUUGCCAAAUAUCCCCUCCCGGGGCAGAUCGCCUCGCUUGAGAACCACUGUUGGAGGAGAACCUGGGUUUUCGGGAGGUGACCGUUUACAAAGGGGAGGACGGUAAGAAGCCGGAAGCAACGAUGACUUAGCUACGUGAAAGACUUGUGGCCGGACUCGCCCCUCUUCUAGAAGCCGUCAGUUUGGGUCUCGCGUCUGGAAUCACCGUCAAGGAGUCAGAUCCAGCCCCGGAGAGGGAGCAGGGUCGAGGUCUCCUUGCAGAAGGCGCCACCGCAGGAAGCACAGGCGCAACGUGCGGUCUCCUUAGCGGAGGCGCUCGCGAUCCUGCAGCCGCCGGUCCGGGAGGUGCUCGGUACCCCUCCUUGGUGCCUGUCCGGUAGCUGGUCACUCUCGGGGGAAGGUCGUGCUACAGAAGGGCACAUGCGAUCACACAGAGACGGCGUUGCUGCGGCUUUGACCCUAUGGUGCACCCGAAAGAACACAGAGGGUGGAGGGAGAGAUCCAGGAAGAGGUCGCGGAGCAGAACCUCCUUUCACUUCAGUUAAAAAGCUCUCACACUUUGGAUGCACUCCUGUACUCCUGUCUGAAAGAGCUAAGCUGACCCCCACCACCGUUGGAGGAAACUCCUGGAGCAGUGCUGGGGUUUUCACUGCAAUCAACUGCUCCAACUUUGUCUUGUACAUGGCUCUUUGACCUUGGGCUUGUGGAUUAAGGGCCUGUGGAGGAGCUCUGUGACUGCUCUGAUAUGUGUGGGUGGUUCUGAGGCACUGUAUUUAGUGAAAAAACUGGAAAUCAUAUGCAUGUCCAUGAAUAAAAAAUGGGGGAUAGGCCGGGCGCCGUGGCUCACACCUAUAAUCCCAGCACUUUGGGAGGCCGAGGUGGGCGGAUCACCUGAGGUCGGGAGUUCAAGACCAGCCUGACCAACAUGGAGAAACCCCGUCUCUACUAAAAAUACAAAAUUAGCUGGACGUGGUCACGCAUGUCAGUAAUCCCAGCUACUCGGGAGGCUGAGGCAGGAAAAUUGCUUGAACCCGGGAGGUGGAGGUUGCAGUGAGCCGAGACAGUGCAGCCUGGGCAAUAAGAGCGAAACUCCAUCUCAAAAACAAACAAAAAAAACAAAAAAAUGGGAUAGACUAAUUUCUAGUACUUCUAAACCAUGGAAUACGAUACAGCUGAUAAACCAAAACACAUUAGAUCUAUGUGAUUCAUCUUAGAGGAUGUUGAUUAUAAGUUUCAACUUGUUUAGAACGAGCCCAUAUUCAUCAAAAAUUCUGUAUGCACCGGAUGUGCUGGCUCAUGCCUGUAGUCCCAGCAGUUUGGGAAGCCAAAGUGGACAGAUCCCCUGAAGUCAAGAGGUCGAGACCAGCCUGGCCAACAUGGUGAAACCCCGUCUUGUGGAGGAAAAGUUAAAUAUUAAAUUUGAACUCAAUUGGACUUGAACACAAGGAAUGGUUACAUGCCAGAAAUCUGUCCCUUGGCACUUGCUCAGGAACGGAUGGACAUACUGAUUGUUCUUGAUAAAUACAUUAUCUGCCUUGAGGCAAUAAACAAAACCUUGAAAAUAGGCUGACCUUUCCGUGUUCCUUGAGUCUAGUGACAAAAGGCCCUUGUGCCUAGGCCUCAUGCCAAAAAGAAUACUAUAAAAAGGUCAGGCUGGGUGCGAUGGCUCACACCUGUAAUCCCAGCACUUUGGGAGGCCAAGGUGGGUGGAUCACCUGAGGUCAGAGGUUCGAGACCAGCCUGGCCAACAUAGUGAAACCCCAUCCUACUAAAAAUACCAAAAAUUAGCUGGGCGUAGUUGCUGGCGCCUGUAAUCCCAGCUGCUCAGGAGACUGAGACAGGAGAUUCCCUUGAACCCAGGAGGUGGAGGUUGCAGUGAGCUGAGAUCGCGCCAUUGCACUCCAGCCUGGGCAACAAGAGUGAAACUCCGUCUCAAAAAAAAAAAGGUCAGGGUCCCAGACUACGCCGAAGCUCCAUGAGACCUCACCUUCCCUGUGCAUGGACCAGUGGCUGACUCUGAAGCCCAGCUGUUGCUUCCCCGUCUGGUGAUGAAUCCUCCAUCGUCUGGUGAAUGUAUAUUUGCUAAUUGUUUUUUUUUCUCACUGCUAUUUGCUCAAUUCACCUUCUAUUUUAUACUUAAAUGAACCUAAAGUAGUUUACAAUCUGCA